AUUAAUUUUGAAUUACUUAAAUUCAAUAAAAAUAUUUUUUUUUAUAAAUUAACCAUUAUCUAAAUAUCCCAAUAUAAAUAUAUUUGUAUGACGAGGUUAAUUAUUUAAAACCCAACUCUAAACCCUAAACGAUCAAUCCUAAACCCUUUUUUUAAAUACGAACGCUAAACCCUAAACCAUCAAUCAAAAACCCUACUCUUUUUUCUCAAAUAUGAACCCUAAACCCUGAAACAUCAACUCGAAAUCCUAUACCCCGAAACAUCAACUCUAAACCCUAACCUUUAACUCUAAACCCUAAACCAUCAACACUAAACCUAAACUAUCAACACUAUACCCUAAAAAGUAAACUCUAAACCCUAAA
rnacentral:lncRNA from 1 species